AUGCGGUUCAAAGUGAGUGCGGUUCAAAGAAAGUGAACUUUGUUUUCUUCAUUUAGAAGGUUUUAUUUUGAGUUUCUUUUGUCAUUCGUCUUUUAUAAGUUAUGUUUGAACACACAAUUGACUUUUGAAUUUUUGUUCUCUAGUGAUAUUGUGGAUUAAUAAUAUAAUGCUACUAUUGAAUAAGUACCCUUUAUUAUUUUUGAUAGUAUGGGCUUAGUGCUUGAUUUUGAUUGU
rnacentral:misc_RNA from 1 species